rnacentral:lncRNA from 1 species
ACAUCCAUACCAUGGAAUACUACUCAGCAAUAAAAGGGGAAUGCACUAUUAUUGAUACAUAAAAAAGGUUGGAUGGAUCUCAAGGGCAUUAUGCCGAGUGGAGACAAAAAGCCAAUCUCAAAAGGUCACAUGCUGAAUGUUAUGUAACAUUCUCAAAAUGACAAAAUUAUAGAGUCAGGAACAGAUAAGUAGUUGCAAGUUAGGGAUGGUGGGAGGGAAGGAGGUAGUGUGACUACAAAGGGGUAGCACAAAGGAAACCUUUAACGUAUGAACCAGUUCUGAAUCUUGACUGCAGUUGUGGUUUCAGGAAUCUACAUACAUGAUAAAAUAGCAAAAAAGUAUACACAUACAUUGCACCAAUGUCAGUUUCCUGGAUUUGACAUAGUACUAUACUGAUAUAAGACAUAACUGUCAGGGAACACUACAUUGGACCUCCUUGUGUUAUCUUUUCAACUUCCUGUGACUCUAUAAUUAUUUCAAAAUAAAUUAAAGAGAGAAAGAGAGAGGGAAAGAGCGAGGGAGAGUGAAAGGGAGUGAGCAAGAGAGCAGACGCACUCUUUCUGACCUUGCAGAAGCAAACAGUCCUCUUAGGAACUGCUUGUGGAAGGGGCCAUGUGGCAAUGACCUCAGAGUGCAGCCUCUAGGAGCUGAGACUACCCCCUGGCCAAGAGCCAGCAAGAAAAUGGGGCCUUAAGGUCUAUAAUUGCAAGGAACUGAAUUCUGCCAACAACCAGUGAGCUUAGAAGAGGACCCCAAGUUUCAGAUGCCAUUGCAGUCCUGUGAAUACCUUGAUUUCAACCUAGUAAGACCCUGAGCAGAGGGCCAGCUAAAAUGUGCCCAGACUUCUGAUGCAUGGAAACCAUGAGAUAAUAACUUUGUGUUGUUUUAAGUCAUUAAAUGUAUGGUAAUUUGUUAUGCAGCAAUAGAUAACUAAUGCACAGCCCCAGGGGUAAGAUACCAUUGAACAACUGGGAGCUUUGCUUCCAGGAGCCACAGUUGGGACCUACCCAUUCUGACAAAAGAAACCAGCAACAACAGGAGGGAGGAGCCAGUCUCGGAGUUGAAACAGAUGCUCGUGGUCUUUCCCCCAAAAAAAAAAAAAAAA